rnacentral:rRNA from 1 species
UACAGAGGGUGCGAGCGUUGUUCGGAAUCACUGGGCGUAAAGGGCGUGUAGGCGGUCCGCUAAGUCUGAUGUGAAAGCCCGGGGCUCACCCCCGGAAGGGCAUUGGAAACUGGCGGACUCGAGUCCCGGAGAGGAAGGUGGAAUUCCUGGUGUAGCGGUGAAAUGCGUAGAUAUCAGGAGGAAUACCGGUGGCGAAGGCGGCCUUCUGGACGGUGACUGACGCUGAGACGCGAAAGCGUGGGGAGCAAACAGG